UCCCUGGUGGCCCAGUGGCUAAGGCUCUACGCUCACAAUGUAGUGGGCCUGAGUUCAAACCCUGGUCAGGCAA
rnacentral:tRNA from 1 species